rnacentral:rRNA from 2 species
ACGAACUCUGGUAUUGAUUGGUGCUUGCAUCAUGAUUUACAUUUGAGUGAGUGGCGAACUGGUGAGUAACACGUGGGAAACCUGCCCAGAAGCGGGGGAUAACACCUGGAAACAGAUGCUAAUACCGCAUAACAACUUGGACCGCAUGGUCCGAGUUUGAAAGAUGGCUUCGGCUAUCACUUUUGGAUGGUCCCGCGGCGUAUUAGCUAGAUGGUGGGGUAACGGCUCACCAUGGCAAUGAUACGUAGCCGACCUGAGAGGGUAAUCGGCCACAUUGGGACUGAGACACGGCCCAAACUCCUACGGGAGGCAGCAGUAGGGAAUCUUCCACAAUGGACGAAAGUCUGAUGGAGCAACGCCGCGUGAGUGAAGAAGGGUUUCGGCUCGUAAAACUCUGUUGUUAAAGAAGAACAUAUCUGAGAGUAACUGUUCAGGUAUUGACGGUAUUUAACCAGAAAGCCACGGCUAACUACGUGCCAGCAGCCGCGGUAAUACGUAGGUGGCAAGCGUUGUCCGGAUUUAUUGGGCGUAAAGCGAGCGCAGGCGGUUUUUUAAGUCUGAUGUGAAAGCCUUCGGCUCAACCGAAGAAGUGCAUCGGAAACUGGGAAACUUGAGUGCAGAAGAGGACAGUGGAACUCCAUGUGUAGCGGUGAAAUGCGUAGAUAUAUGGAAGAACACCAGUGGCGAAGGCGGCUGUCUGGUCUGUAACUGACGCUGAGGCUCGAAAGUAUGGGUAGCAAACAGGAUUAGAUACCCUGGUAGUCCAUACCGUAAACGAUGAAUGCUAAGUGUUGGAGGGUUUCCGCCCUUCAGUGCUGCAGCUAACGCAUAAGCAUCCG